rnacentral:rRNA from 1 species
UGAACGCUGGCGGUAGGCCUAACACAUGCAAGUCGAACGGCAGCACAGUAAGAGCUUGCUCUUACGGGUGGCGAGUGGCGGACGGGUGAGGAAUACAUCGGAAUCUACUUUUUCGUGGGGGAUAACGUAGGGAAACUUACGCUAAUACCGCAUACGACCUACGGGUGAAAGCAGGGGAUCUUCGGACCUUGCGCGAUUGAAUGAGCCGAUGUCGGAUUGGCUAGUUGGCGGGGUAAAGGCCCACCAAGGCGACGAUCCGUAGCUGGUCUGAGAGGAUGAUCAGCCACACUGGAACUGAGACACGGUCCAGACUCCUACGGGAGGCAGCAGUGGGGAAUAUUGGACAAUGGGCGCAAGCCUGAUCCAGCCAUACCGCGUGGGUGAAGAAGGCCUUCGGGUUGUAAAGCCCUUUUGUUGGGAAAGAAAAGCAGCAGGUUAAUACCCCGCUGUUCUGACGGUACCCAAAGAAUAAGCACCGGCUAACUUCGUG